AUGCCAAAGAGACAUUCAUUGAAAUUUAUUAGUCUAUGGAUUCCAAGAUUUUGAAGAACUAGAGGUUUGUAAGGAAACACACGAAAUAGAGUGGGAAAAUUUCUAUAGAAGAACAUAUGUUUUCAGACUUUGACAGCUAUAUAUAGCAACUUCUUUUCAUGAGCCACAACCUUUGACAGAUUCUAUAUCUCGCUUUGUAUGGGUUAAGUUACUAAGUGACAUAAAUUUCUAGCCAAAACCAUGAGUAGA
rnacentral:lncRNA from 1 species